GAUCAUGGCUCAGGAUGACCGCUAGCUACAGGCUUAACACAUGCAAGUCGAGGGGCAGCGUGUCGGUUGCUUGCAACCGAUGAUGGCGACCGGCGCACGGGUGAGUAACGCGUAUCCAACCUACCCUUGUCCAUCGGAUAACCCGUCGAAAGGCGGCCUAACACGAUAUGCGGUUCUCAGCAGGCAUCUAACGAGAACGAAAUGUGAAGGAGAAGGAUGGGGAUGCGU
rnacentral:rRNA from 1 species